AUUGAACGCUGGCGGCGUGCUUAACACAUGCAAGUCGAUCGGUAACGCGGGGGCAACCCUGGCGACGAGAGGCGGACGGGUGAGGAACGCUUGGGAAUCUGCCUAUCAGCGGGGGACAACCCGGGGAAACUCGGGCUAAUACCGCAUACGCUCUACGGAGGAAAGCCGGGGACCGCAAGGCCUGGCACUGAUAGAUGAGCCCAAGCCGGAUUAGCUAGUUGGCGGGGUAACGGCCCACCAAGGCGACGAUCCGUAGCUGGUCUGAGAGGACGGUCAGCCGCACCGGAACUGAGACACGGUCCGGACUCCUACGGGAGGCAGCAGUGGGGAAUAUUGGACAAUGGGGGAAACCCUGAUCCAGCGACGCCGCGUGGGUGAAGAAGGCCUUCGGGUUGUAAAGCUCUUUCGGCCGGGAAGAAAUCGCACGGGCUAAUACCCUGUGUGGAUGACGGUACCGGAAUAAGAAGCACCGGCUAACUACGUGCCAGCCGCCGCCGUAACAC
rnacentral:rRNA from 1 species